rnacentral:sRNA from 1 species
AUGUACCACGCAUCCACUGCGGUUGUGAGCGCGCCGUCCGCGCACACCUGACAGCUGCUCGCUGCGUUGUGUGAACC